UGGGGAAUAUUGCACAAUGGAGGGAACUCUGAUGCAGCGACGCUGCGUGAACGAAGAAGGCUCUCGAGUCGUAUAGUUCUCUUUUAUGGGAAGAUAAUUACGGCACCAUAAGAAAAAGCUCCGGCUAACUACGUGCCAGAAGCCGCGGGAAUACGUAGGGGGCUAGCGUUGUCCGGAAUAACUGGGCGUAAAGGGUUCGCAGGCGGUAAUGCAAGUCAGGUGUAAAAGGCAGUAGCUUAACUACUGUAAGCAUUUGAAACUGCAUAUCUUGAGAAGAGUAGAGGUAAGUGGAAUUUUGAGUGUAGCGGCGAAAUGCGUAGAUAUUAAAAAGAAUACCGGUGGGGAAGGCGACUUACUGGGCUAAUUAUGACGCAGAGGAACGAAAGCGGGGGUAGCAAACAGG
rnacentral:rRNA from 1 species